rfam:Dipodomys ordii contig_61513, whole genome shotgun sequence.
ACAAAGGCCCUUUUCAGGGCCGCCAUAUUCUCAUCAAAAGAGCCCA